CACACACACACAUAUACACACAAGGGCUUCAGAGCAAAUGAAAUCAUACUGGGAGACAUUGUGGACAUUGUGGACUUUUUUCUUUUACUUACUUUUUUUCUUUUUUCUUUUACUAGCAUAGUAUAUA
rnacentral:ribozyme from 12 species